rnacentral:misc_RNA from 1 species
CUGGAUAAAAUCCUGCGCACCGAGGUUCUUCCUCAUGGCGCUCGGCCUCUUCCCAGCGCUACCGGCCAUCCCUCUGCUCGCCCUCGCUCCUCUGUUGGCUCAGACCGCACCCCCUUCUCGGCCCCAUCUCCAUGGCGUCCGGCCGGAUCUCCAGUGCCGCGCCGGCUUGGAGCUUCCAUGGCCGCAUCUCUUUUUCCCUGUGAUUUCAUGGCGUCCCUGCGUCGCAUAUUCCCUGAGCUCGUCGCCAUGGCUGCACCCAGCUGCUCCUCCAUGGCUCGUCUCUCCUUGGCACCCAGCCGAGCCCCUCCGCACGCCCAGAUGCCUGCUCGCUGCCAGCUCGCCCUGCUCUCUGUUUUCUCUCUCUGCCGCGCCCGCUGUUGGUUCGCUCUGCUCGCGGCCAGAGCUCCACUGCGUCGCGCCCAAGCUUCUGGCGUCUUCCUCCCCUGCGCAGAGUCUCAGCCUGCUUGUCGAGCCCAGCCGCCCUUCCCUUUGAUUCUCCCUCGCCCAUGGUCGAGUUCGCCCCAGCGCCGUGCUCUGCGCGCGACCGUUUCCUGUUCCCUGCGCGCGUCGAGCUCUCGUGCCGAGUCCCUCUGUUGCGUGCCCAGCCUCAAGUUCCUGUGCGCGCGCUCCACUGUUCCCUGGGUGAGUUCCUCGCUGCCACAGUUGUCUGGUGUUUGGCCCGCGUCGAUUCGCGUUCGCUCAUAUCGCCAUCGUCGUGUUGUCGCUGGUGAUAGCUUCGCGUGCGCGUCAAACUCCCGCGUCUAA